UGGCGGACUAGGCCGGGGAGCCAGGCGUUCCCUGUAAUCUGAAAUCGCCUCCACGCAGAGGCCGAAGUCAAUCGAGCGGCAUCACCGCCACAGUGUUGGCCCCAAUGCCGGCGCCGAAGCCUUGUCCUGCAGGGCCGAUGGCAACACACCCCAGUCCGAAGGGACUUCCGGCGUGUUUUUAUCAGUCGAACCCCGUCAGGCCCGGAAGGGAGCAGCGGUAGGCCGAACACUCGACGCUUGCAGGGUUGCAGGGCUGAGCCGGCAAUGGAACAACCAGCACAGUGGCCCGGAGAUGUCCACCGACUGACACGUCCGCCA
rnacentral:SRP_RNA from 1 species